rnacentral:rRNA from 1 species
AGACCACCAGCUAAGGUCCCAAAAUAUAUGUUAAGUGGAAAAGGAUGUGGCGUUGCCCAGACAACUAGGAUGUUGGCUUAGAAGCAGCCAUCAUUUAAAGAGUGCGUAAUAGCUCACUAGUCGAGUGACACUGCGCCGAAAAUGUACCGGGGCUAAACAUAUUACCGAAGCUGUGGAUUGUCCUUUGGACAAUGGUAGGAGAGCGUUCUAAGGGCGUUGAAGCAUGAUCGUAAGGACAUGUGGAGCGCUUAGAAGUGAGAAUGCCGGUGUGAGUAGCGAAAGACGGGUGAGAAUCCCGUCCACCGAUUGACUAAGGUUUCCAGAGGAAGGCUCGUCCGCUCUGGGUUAGUCGGGUCCUAAGCUGAGGCCGACAGGCGUAGGCGAUGGAUAACAGGUUGAUAUUCCUGUACCACCUAUAAUCGUUUUAAUCGAUGGGGGGACGCAGUAGGAUAGGCGAAGCGUGCGAUUGGAUUGCACGUCUAAGCAGUAAGGCUGAGUAUUAGGCAAAUCCGGUACUCGUUAAGGCUGAGCUGUGAUGGGGAGAAGACAUUGUGUCUUCGAGUCGUUGAUUUCACACUGCCGAGAAAAGCCUCUAGAUAGAAAAUAGGUGCCCGUACCGCAAACCGACACAGGUAGUCAAGAUGAGAAUUCUAAGGUGAGCGAGCGAACUCUCGUUAAGGAACUCGGCAAAAUGACCCCGUAACUUCGGGAGAAGGGGUGCUCUUUAGGGUUAACGCCCAGAAGAGCCGCAGUGAAUAGGCCCAAGCGACUGUUUAUCAAAAACACAGGUCUCUGCUAAACCGUAAGGUGAUGUAUAGGGGCUGACGCCUGCCCGGUGCUGGAAGGUUAAGAGGAGUGGUUAGCUUCUGCGAAGCUACGAAUCGAAGCCCCAGUAAACGGCGGCCGUAACUAUAACGGUCCUAAGGUAGCGAAAUUCCUUGUCGGGUAAGUUCCGACCCGCACGAAAGGCGUAACGAUUUGGGCACUGUCUCAACGAGAGACUCGGUGAAAUCAUAGUACCUGUGAAGAUGCAGGUUACCCGCGACAGGACGGAAAGACCCCGUGGAGCUUUACUGUAGCCUGAUAUUGAAAUUCGGCACAGCUUGUACAGGAUAGGUAGGAGCCUUUGAAACGUGAGCGCUAGCUUACGUGGAGGCGCUGGUGGGAUACUACCCUAGCUGUGUUGGCUUUCUAACCCGCACCACUUAUCGUGGUGGGAGACAGUGUCAGGCGGGCAGUUUGACUGGGGCGGUCGCCUCCUAAAAGGUAACGGAGGCGCUC